rnacentral:rRNA from 2 species
ACGGGUGAGUAACGCGUGGGAACAUACCCAACUCUACGGAAUAACUCAGGGAAACUUGUGCUAAUACCGUAUACGCCCUUCGGGGGAAAGAUUUAUCGGAGUUGGAUUGGCCCGCGUUGGAUUAGCUAGUUGGUGGGGUAAAGGCCUACCAAGGCGACGAUCCAUAGCUGGUCUGAGAGGAUGAUCAGCCACAUUGGGACUGAGACACGGCCCAAACUCCUACGGGAGGCAGCAGUGGGGAAUAUUGGACAAUGGGCGCAAGCCUGAUCCAGCCAUGCCGCGUGUGUGAUGAAGGCCUUAGGGUUGUAAAGCACUUUCACCGGAGAAGAUAAUGACGGUAUCCGGAGAAGAAGCCCCGGCUAACUUCGUGCCAGCAGCCGCGGUAAUACGAAGGGGGCUAGCGUUGUUCGGAAUUACUGGGCGUAAAGCGCACGUAGGCGGAUCGAUCAGUCAGGGGUGAAAUCCCUGAGCUCAACUCUGGAACUGCCUUUGAUACUGUCGGUCUAGAGUAUGGAAGAGGUGAGUGGAAUUCCGAGUGUAGAGGUGAAAUUCGUAGA